GAUGAACGCUGGCGGCGUGCCUAAUACAUGCAAGUCGAGCGAACGGACGAGAAGCUUGCUUCUCUGAUGUUAGCGGCGGACGGGUGAGUAACACGUGGAUAACCUACCUAUAAGACUGGGAUAACUUCGGGAAACCGGAGCUAAUACCGGAUAAUAUUUUGAACCGCAUGGUUCAAAAGUGAAAGACGGUCUUGCUGUCACUUAUAGAUGGAUCCGCGCUGCAUUAGCUAGUUGGUAAGGUAACGGCUUACCAAGGCAACGAUGCAUAGCCGACCUGAGAGGGUGAUCGGCCACACUGGAACUGAGACACGGUCCAGACUCCUACGGGAGGCAGCAGUAGGGAAUCUUCCGCAAUGGGCGAAAGCCUGACGGAGCAACGCCGCGUGAGUGAUGAAGGUCUUCGGAUCGUAAAACUCUGUUAUUAGGGAAGAACAUAUGUGUAAGUAACUGUGCACAUCUUGACGGUACCUAAUCAGAAAGCCACGGCUAACUACGUGCCAGCAGCCGCGGUAAUACGUAGGUGGCAAGCGUUAUCUGGAAUUAUUGGGCGUAAAGCGCGCGUAGGCGGUUUUUUAAGUCUGAUGUGAAAGCCCACGGCUCAACCGUGGAGGGUCAUUGGAAACUGGAAAACUUGAGUGCAGAAGAGGAAAGUGGAGUUCCAUGUGUAGCGGUGAAAUGCGCAGAGAUAUGGAGGAACACCAGUGGCGAAGGCGACUUUCUGGUCUGUAACUGACGCUGAUGUGCGAAAGCGUGGGGAUCAAACAGGAUUAGAUACCCUGGUAGUCCACGCCGUAAACGAUGAGUGCUAAGUGUUAGGGGGUUUCCGCCCCUUAGUGCUGCAGCUAACGCAUUAAGCACUCCGCCUGGGGAGUACGACCGCAAGGUUGAAACUCAAAGGAAUUGACGGGGACCCGCACAAGCGGUGGAGCAUGUGGUUUAAUUCGAAGCAACGCGAAGAACCUUACCAAAUCUUGACAUCCUUUGACAACUCUAGAGAUAGAGCCUUCCCCUUCGGGGGACAAAGUGACAGGUGGUGCAUGGUUGUCGUCAGCUCGUGUCGUGAGAUGUUGGGUUAAGUCCCGCAACGAGCGCAACCCUUAAGCUUAGUUGCCAUCAUUAAGUUGGGCACUCUAAGUUGACUGCCGGUGACAAACCGGAGGAAGGUGGGGAUGACGCCAAAUCAUCAUGCCCCUUAUGAUUUGGGCUACACACGUGCUACAAUGGACAAUACAAAGGGCAGCGAAACCGCGAGGUCAAGCAAAUCCCAUAAAGUUGUUCUCAGUUCGGAUUGUAGUCUGCAACUCGACUACAUGAAGCUGGAAUCGCUAGUAAUCGUAGAUCAGCAUGCUACGGUGAAUACGUUCCCGGGUCU
rnacentral:rRNA from 1 species